rnacentral:rRNA from 1 species
GACGAACCGUGCGAACGUUGUUCGGAAUUACUGGGCUUAAAGGGCGCGUAGGCGGGCUGUCAAGUCCGGGGUGAAAUCCUCCAGCUCAACUGGAGAAUGGCCUCGGAUACUGAUGGUCUCGAGGAGGAUAGGGGCACACGGAACUGUGGGUGGAGCGGUGAAAUGCGUUGAUAUCCACAGGAACUCCGGUGGCGAAAGCGGUGUGCUGGAUCCUUUCUGACGCUGAUGCGCGAAAGCCAGGGGAGCAAACGGG